GAAAUGCGAUAAGUAGUGUGAAUUGCAGAAUUCAGUGAAUCAUCGAAUCUUUGAACGCACAUUGCGCCCUUUGGUAUUCCUUGGAGCAUGCCUGUUUGAGUAUCAUGAAAUCUUCAAAGUAAAUCUUUUGUUAACUCAAUUGGUUUCUACUUUGGUAUUGGAGGUCUUUGCAGCUUCACACCUGCUCCUCUUUGUUCAUUAGCUGGAUCUCAGUGUUAUGCUUGGUUCCACUCGGCGUGAUAAGUUAUCUAUCGCUGAGGACACUGUAAAAGGUGGCCAAGGUAAAUGCAGAUGAACCGCUUCUAAUAGUCCAUUGACUUGGACAAUACUUUUAUGAUCUGAUCUCAAAUCAGGUAGGACUACCCGCUGAACUUAAGC
rnacentral:misc_RNA from 1 species